AGAGUGAAGGAGCAAAGGGGACUCGGCCGCCAUGUUGGGAAUACUGGGAAGAUUCCGCGGAGCCCGGCAGAGGUUUUAGGGGAAUGAUUAACAAAGGCGUCCGAAGAAAUCGUUGUUGGAAGGUGACCAAGCUGGAAAGAGACGUUGCUUUGGCCCUGCAAGUAAGAAAAGAGACGGAGCAGCCUGAAGGAGUAACACUAAAUUUAAAAUGACACUUUUUUUUUUUUUUACCAACCAGCGAAAGCAGAUGUUCAAAGGGGAUAUUGGCCGGAGUCUAUCACACUAAGAUGAGAAAUGUGUUUUCUUCCUGAAGGUGUCUGAUGUGUAAAAAUACUGAUAUACUUAGGGCUGUUUCCUCCCUUUCCUUUGCACGUUAUUCUGAAACAAAAUUAACUAGUUACUUUGCGUCAUUGAAGGUAUGCACUUCACCUCUAUGUUAGGAGUGAAUAAAAAAUAGAUCCUCAUAUCAAAGAAAGGCUAGACAGAAUGAUUAAAAAUGACCAAAACAUGUUAGAAACAGUCUUUCAGAUGUAUGCAGAUGGUAAUUACAAAAACACUUUUUCAAAAAAUGAUUGUAUGUGUCAUGUUUCUGGGAACAAGUCAAGAUGAAUGAGUUUGAUUUUUAAGCAGAAGUAGUAUGUGUUGGUGUCAUCCGUGAAUACCACAAUGAAAAAGGCUCAAAGUUUUUGUUACUUAGAAACUUCUCUAAGUAAUGGUGGUAAGUACAGGAAAAGGAACAAUGUCUACCAUUUUCUUUCUAACCUUCAAUUUAACUAUUGUAAUGUUGUAAGCUUAAUAGAGAUUUACACUUAGGCUUAAUUUCAAGCUCUUCAAUUAUUUUUCGUGGUUGGUGAUUCAGGUGUAUUCUCAUGUCUUAUGUAAAUUUAUCUUGAGUUUGUUCAUUUUAUAAUGUAUUUCUUUAUGUAAGCCA